rnacentral:rRNA from 1 species
CAGUAGCCACGGUAAUACGAGGGGGGCAAGCGUUGUUCGGAAUUAUUGGGCGUAAAGGGCGCGUAGGCGGUUUGGCAAGUUUCGUGUGAAAUCUUCGGGCUCAACUCGAAGUCUGCACAGGAAACUGUCGGGCUUGAGAGUGGGAGAGGUGAGUGGAAUUUCCGGUGUAGCGGUGAAAUGCGUAGAUAUCGGAAGGAACACCUGUGGCGAAAGCGGCUCACUGGACCAUUUCUGACGCUGAUGCACGAAAGCUAGGGGAGCAAACAGGAUUAGAUACCCCCGUAGUCCCUGUCUCUUAUAC